CGUGACUCCGAGGUGCCGGACUCCUCGCCGGACUCCGCACCUCCCGCGCCCCCUCCGAUCGAAUCCGAUUGGGCGCCGAUCAUGGAGUUCGCCGCGGCGGACAUCUUUCAACACUCACCUUUUGGCGACAUCUUGAGUUCGCUAAAGUAUCUCUCGUUGUCAGGAGAGCCCUGGCCGGACUACGGUCAGGACGGUUGGGAUGCGGACGACGAAGAAAUUCAAAGCCCACCCACCACCCACUUGGUAGCCACUAUCGACGAUCUAACCGACAUGCUAGACUACGACUCCGAAGACAUCGACGGUAUGGACGACGAUGCCGGAGACGACCAAGAACCAGCGCCUACCGGGCACUGGAAAGCCACCUCAUCGUAUGCCAUUUUUUUUUUGAAAAGGGGUGCAACCCCAGCCUCUGACAUAUACAUGGUGGAUAUCCCAAAGGAUGGGAAUGGCGAGGGAAUAGCUGAGGGUGACCCCUCCAAGAAACAGCCCAAGCGCAGGCGCCAGCGGCGCCGCUCUAAAUCCCGCCACAGCAAGAAUGAAGAUUCCGGCAUCGGAGACAAUAACACCCCAGACAGUACCGAAGACAACCCACUCCAGCAAAAUUCAGCACAGGAGGACGGAGACGCCAGUCCUCAUGAGAGAGCGGCAGAAGAAGAGGUAGAUGAUUAUAUGCCUCCCUCCGAAGACGAGGCGAGCCUCAACGACGAUGAAUUCGUCGUACCUGAGGACCCCGUCGAACAAGAGCCACUACACCAUGCACCAGAAUUCCCUACCGAUGUGUGUUGGGAAAAAUCAAUUAUACUGACACACAGUCGGUCGGGAAAAGUUGCAUUGGUCAGUUGGUCGGAAAUACAUACUUGUGGCGUCCAACAGUCGGUCGGAAAUGCUUUUAUAUUUCACGUCUGCUGAUCGGUCGGUAGUAAAGGACUUCCAUCGAACUAUCGGUCGGCAAAUUUUUCCGACCAACUGCUGGUGGCUAAUUGGGCCGAUCAGUCGCUCACGCGGGAACGGUGAAAUUGUUGGCGCCGAAAUGAGCCCAGCCCAUGAAAAACCCAUCUCCCCUUUUCCCCUUCUCCCCCCAAAUCCCUCAGAUCUGGAACACAGAAUCUACAUCCGCCGCCGCCCACGCUCGCGCUCUCUCUCCGCCGCACACGCUGCUCCCCGCGGCCGGCCAGGUGCUCUCCAGCCGGCGAGGCCGCCGCACCCUCUCUCCCGCCCACCGCACCCUCUCUCCCGCCCACCGCAUGUCCACCGCCGACCCCACUCCACACAGCCGCCGGUGGAACCCUACUCCAUACUGCUGCCGCGCCUCCACCGACAGGAGCUUUCUCCGCCGCCCCCUCCGUCUCCAGGUAUUCUCUCCUCCUGUCCGUUUGCCCUUCCCUUCACCUCGCUCACCACACUGCCAUGCACGCACAGAUGGUCUUGCCGUUGCCGUCCAAACCCUACAGGAGGUUGGCCUUUUCGUCCGCGCCCAAACUCGUCUAUCUCCUGGAGGUGCCGCCGGCAAGAAGGUAAUGCUCCAAGACGCAUCUUCCCAGAUCCAACCAGGACAGUGGGUUGAUUUUAGUCCUAAUGCCAGGUCUUUAGCACCUCUGGUGUUUUUUCCGAGUGAGACAACAAUUUCUCUUCUGAAGAUUUGUUUUUUCCUUUCACAUGUGCAUGCUUAUGUUAUGUGUGGAUGCUGAAAGCUAAUUUACACGUACUAUGUGCUUUGAGAAGAAAACAGUGUAGUUGUUAUGCAUGAGCGCACCUUCAGCAUAGUGGUCAAUUUGGUUGACCUUGUUUGUCAAAAGAAAUUUGCUUAGUGGAUUGUCAUAAGUGACUCACAUAGUGCUGAAACUUGGAACAUAGAACUUAGCUAUAAAUCUUAACUAUGAUGGUACUUUGGGGAAAAUUGCACAUUUAGAUUGAUUUUAGUGACUUAUUUAUUGUUCUGAACCUUGGUUUGUCACCAUAGUUUAGACUUUAGACUCUUGAGUGUUGUUCUGGCUCUGAAAAGUGGGAUCCUUGAGAGGCUAGUCUGUGCAAUAUAUGAAAACGCUAAUGAUGUCCUGUGAGAACUUGGGAUCAUGUACAAGAACAAUAAUUAUGAGUGUAGCAAUGAUACAUUCUAAGGCUAACCUCUUGCCUCUGCACAUAAAUUAAGAUACCAAUUGAGCACGACACCUUUAGUUCCUAGUCAUCAUGAUAAAAGUAUUGAACCUGACAUCUACAAAAAUAUAUUUCCUUGCAUAAUCUCUUGCUUUUCCUUGAUGAGCAGCAACUUAUAUUGAACUUUUAUAUUAAAGCAGUGCAUGGCAAAAGAAGGCGGCCAAACCUACUAACCAGGAAUACCACUAACCAGCGGGAUCCGAACGAUGUGUGGAUUUCCAAAAAGGUAUUUUCUUAUAGUGUUAGAUACUGUUUGAUAUUGAUUUGAUGAAUGCUUGCUAAACUUAGUUAUUUUCUAUGAAGUUCAAAUCCUGCAACACCUAUUUUGUUUCCUUUGAUCCACAUGUGAGGCAUAGAAAGGGUUCAAUUUUGAUUUUUGUAUCAGUUUCAGAGUUGUUCUGUUCAGAUUUUGAAUUUUCUAGUUUUUUUGUGGACAGUGUGUGCGGCAUUUAAAUUCACUAUUAAUUAUGUUGCAGCUAGCCGACAAAGGUUGGAUGGAUGCGCCUAGGUACAACACUCUGUAUUUUAAAUAUGUUAGAUGUUAGUACUUGCUGCAAUCUUUCCCGACCGACUAUGCAGGCUUUUAGCUUCAUUUUACUUGAAUGGUUGUGCAGACUUUUAGCUUCAUUCUUAAAAAGCUAUAGUUAAGUAAAGCAUAUGCUCUGAAAUUGUUUAUGAGAUGAAGGGGGGAGGGACUGUUAGUUAAGAACAAUUGUAUAUCUAUAAGUCCAGCAAAGGACAAAAUGUACAGUUAAACAUUUGGAUUUAAGCAAUAGAUCAACAGAGCAUUUGUUCUGCAGUUUAAUGACGCUAUAAGAUAAAGAUUCUUCUAAAUGGCUGAAAUUAAAUUUUACUUGAAUGAUGUGCUGAAAUCAACCUCUAUACACCUAGGCACCAUUUUUUAACAGAAUUGAUAUGAUGCUUGCUCUGUGAAUGACUAUUUUGUUGCACGCUUGUCUCCGAAUAAAAUACAAGGGGUUAGAAAUACAGGCAACACUUCAUAAAUCGUUCCUUAUUCCUAAUCUUAGGAAUCAUUGUGUUGUCUUCAUACUUCACGGGUUUUGUGCUAGCCGUGAUAUGUUUUUGGCCACAUGCCUUAUUCAACUAGGUACAUCCGCUGCUCCGAGACUACGAGAAGUUCCAUGCCUCGGUGAGGCUGGUACCUAUUUUUUAGGACUAGGUGUGCUAUGAUUCUCACUUCCUACUGAUUUGUCCACUUAUUCUCUGUCCUACUCCUCUCUUUUGAUUUAAUCCCCUGAAUCUCUAAUCUUUAUUUGUGCAGAUUCUCUUACCUAUGCCUACAAGGUGUUUGAUGAAAAUCCAAGCAAGCUGCAAAGAAUAUUCAUCUAUGUAAUAUCUAUGUUCCAUUAUCUCUGCUUAAUAACUUUUUCUGAAAUUUAGUUGCAUUCAAUGAUUGCUUCCUCUCAUGCCAAUGCGGCAAUAUCUCUCAUCUGAAUUCUCAUUUAUCUUUUCCAGUUACAUAGUGGCUUAUGUGCUACCUGGAUGUUGGAGUAGCAGUAUGUGCGAAAAUGCUUUUCUUUUUUAGAGCAUUUGUAUGCCACAUCUGGUAGCGUUGGUCCUUUCUAAAGGCCAAUAUGAACAAGCAACUUAUAUAUGUCAAAUCGCAUGGGUACUUUACUUGGUACUUUCAGGUUUUGAUAUUACUCUAACUAGAAUUUCCUUUCAAACAUUGCAAUUAGCUUUUAUCAUAGCAUUGCAAAUAUUGAGAAAUUUGUUCAUCAUACCUCCCAGGUAAACUAGAAGUAUUGUACUAGUCAAGCAGAACCGUGUUCCAAUUGCAUCCUGGGGUUUAAUGCUAUGCAUUAUACAAGUUUUUAUGGUGCCAUUGUAUUUAUGAAUAAAUGUAAUCACAACUUUACAUUUUGCAAGUUCUUUUCAUUUUUGCAGGAAAAUGCAAGAGGACGAGGAAUCAUGAAGCCAGUGGCUCGGGAUCUUUUGUUUAAUGGUGACUGAAUCGUUGGAGAUGCAUUUUAUCCAUCAUUUUGUAAACCCGCAUUGUGAUUGAGACAAUGAACCAUAUGGUUCCUUUUUAAUUAGUUACGUUAGUUUAUGGGAAAUUUGGAUGGUCAUUAUGUUAAUAAUGGAUGAACUAUUUAUAUGUGAAAUUAAUUAGUAUUUUUUUAUUGUUUGGUUAUGGUUCGUUAUUGUUGGAGAUCCAUGUACUUGUUAUGAAGUAACUUGAUUGAUAUUCUGUUGGUAAUGCAAAUGUAUGCUAUGGAAGUGCUAUUGGAUAUUGG
rnacentral:lncRNA from 1 species